AUACGGAGGGUGCGAGCGUUGUUCGGAAUUACUGGGCGUAAAGGGCGCGUAGGCGGCACUGUAAGUCAGAUGUGAAAGUCCAGGGCUUAACCCUGGAAGUGCAUCUGAUACUGCAGAGCUUGAGUAUCGGAGGGGAAAGUAGAAUUCCCGGUGUAGAGGUGAAAUUCGUAGAUAUCGGGAGGAAUACCGGUGGCGAAGGCGACUUUCUGGCCCUAUACUGACGCUGAGACGCGAGAGCGUGGGUAGC
rnacentral:rRNA from 1 species